CUGAGUUCAAGUUCUGCUGGGGUUGACUUUGCCUUUCAUCCUUUCGGGGUCGAUAAAUUAAGCACCAGUGAAACGCUGGGGUCGAUGUAAUCAACUAGCACCCACCCCACUCACAAAAUGUCAGCCCUUGUGCCUUUAUGAGAAAGGAAUAUUCUCAAAGGGGUCAGAUGGCAGAACCAUUAGCACCCCGGACAAAAUGUCUAACGGCAUUCCUUGUGGCUCUGAGUUCAAAUCCUCCCGAGGCAAACUUUACCGCUUUAUCCUUCCAGCAGUCAGUAACCCAGAAUACCAGUCAUAUACUGUGGCACGAUAAGUGAUUGUUCUCGACUACACCCACAAUUGGUGGGAGGGGGUGGAGGGUUUUUGUGCUUCUCCCAAAUUCCUAUCAUUGUAGUGUUGCAGUUUUGCUUUUUGUUUUUUUUUUUUAGUUUUUUUAAUUCCCGCUCCCACCAUACAUGCCCUCCCUGUCUCCCCCACCCCCCCACACUCACACCCUGUUCCCCCUACGUUGGUUUGUUGAAUCUAAUUGCAUCGUUAUAUCUUUUGCCUAAUUAGUAGUUUUAAUUUGUUGUUGUUGUUGCUGCUGCUGCCGUUCUCUGCAUACAAUGUUGCACUGUUGAUGUAACACACACACACACACACACACACACUUACAGACCUACCUGUGCGUGUUUUAUCAUCUUCAGGUGUGAUAACAGUUGUUGUUUUAUCUAUUUUUGUAUGUUUUGUUCAGGUGUUUUUUUCCUUCCUUCCUUUGUGUUAUUGUUCUGAUUUUUUUGGUUUUUUUAAGUUUCCAUUGUUUUUUAACCAAGGACAGGGCUGGGGGUGUGUGGGGAGGGAGGGAGGGAGGCUGCGAGUUGUUUUCCAUUCUCACACCACCACCACCACCAUCCAACGUACACACACACACACACACACACGCCUUUAUAUAUUUACUCCCUUUCAACAUUGCUCUAAACACACACAUCUGCAUGUAUGUAUGUGUGUAUGUAUAUAUAUAUAUAUAUAUAUAUAUAUAUAUAUAUAUAUAUAAUAUAUAUAUAUAUAUAUAUAUAUAUAUAUAUACACACACACAUUUGACACAGGCUCCCUCUGGUGUUUACAAAUUCUUAUAAUAUUGUCAAUUUAUUUGGAGCUGGUGAUUCCCUCCCGACAACAAACAUACUCUAUUCUCUGUAUUGAGUACUCUUUUUCUUUGUACUUCCAAACAUGCACACACACACACAAACUAUAAAUAUAUUCUACAUAAUUUCCAAUGUUUUCAGGGGCCAAUUCUUGUAUUUAUAGACUUAUUGUGAACAGUAGUUUGUGUUGGAUUUUUAUUAGUUUUUUUUUUUUCUUUUUCUUCAAAAGGUUGUAUGUAAAUUUAUUGCUGAAUAGUUAACCACCCUCUUUUGAAUUGAACCCUUCCCAAGUGUGCUGGAUUAUUACAUCCCAUAUAUGCUGAGUCACGUCCCCUAUCCGAUUUAUUAAAAUGAAUCCCCUUUACAAGAUGUCCUGGUUCAAUCCCCCUUACAAUAUGUCCUGGUUCAAUCCCCCUUAUAAGAUGUACUGGUUCAAUCCACCCUCCCUACAAAUGGCUCUGAACCAACCUUCCUCUCUGCAGUUCUCUUUACCUUAAAGAUAUAAAGAUACUUCUCAUUUUAUUCUCCACUUUAUUCUAAAACAUAAUCCGUCUAUACCUAUUAUAUAUUGUCCCUCAGAAGUUGUAGGGCAAAAGUUUAUUUUCUUGUUG